rnacentral:rRNA from 1 species
UUGACCUCAAAUCAGGUAGGACUACCCGCUGAACUUAAGCAUAUCAAUAAGCGGAGGAAAAGAAACUAACAAGGAUUCCCCUAGUAACUGCGAGUGAAGCGGGAAAAGCUCAAAUUUAAAAUCUGGCAGUCUUUGGCUGUCCGAGUUGUAAUCUAGAGAAGUAUUAUCCGCGCUGGACCGUGUACAAGUCUCCUGGAAUGGAGCGUCAUAGAGGGUGAGAAUCCCGUCUUUGA